rnacentral:rRNA from 1 species
UGGGGAAUUUUGCGCAAUGGGCGAAAGCCUGACGCAGCAACGCCGCGUGCGGGAAGAAGGCCCUCGGGUUGUAAACCGCUUUCGGCAGGAACGAAAUUGACGGUACCUGCAGAAGAAGCCCCGGCCAACUACGUGCCAGCAGCCGCGGUAAUACGUAGGGGGCGAGCGUUGUCCGGAUUUAUUGGGCGUAAAGAGCUCGUAGGCGGUUCGGUAAGUCAGAUGUGAAAACUCCAGGCUCAACUUGGAGACGCCAUCUGAUACUGCCAUGACUAGAGUCCGGUAGGGGAGCACGGAAUUCCUGGUGUAGCGGUGAAAUGCGCAGAUAUCAGGAGGAACACCAGCGGCGAAGGCGGUGCUCUGGGCCGGUACUGACGCUGAGGAGCGAAAGCGUGGGGAGCGAACAGG